GAGACUGUCCGAACUGGGCAGAGAAGAAGGGCCGACCGGGAGAGUCGGGCAGAUCCGCAGGUGACAGGCACUUCCGACUCCAGCAGAGAAGGGGACACUGAUCACGGAAAACCUUCGGAGGUUUGUUAUACUCAAAAUGUACCAGGAACAGGAACAAAAGUAUUUUAUAAAAUAAUUAAUUUUUAUGGGCUAUGAGUCCCAAAUGGUUAUGUAAUCAAAGUGGAAGCAGAAAAGCAUGGCUUAGAAAAUAAUUGGUCAUGUCAUGUCACGCUUAACACAUGUGCAGACUCUGCCCUCCAGGUUGCAGUGCGAUGGUGUGAUCAAUGCUCAUAGUAGCUUCAAACUCCCAGGAUCAAGUGAUCCUCCUAAAUAAACCUCCUGAGUAGCUGGGACUACAGCUUCCACCAUGGGAUGAUACAGCAUGAAGGCCCUCACCAGAUAUGCACCCCUUGAUUUUGGACUUCCCAGACUCCAGAACUAAUCUGGGCUAUCCCUGUGACUUGCUUUGACUAACGGAAUGUGACAGAAUGACGUUGUGCAACAUCCAAAUCAGGACUUAAGAAACUGUAGGCAGCCAUCAUGCUGUGAACGCAAGCUGUGUGGAGAGACUAAGUGGAGGUGAAUGGAGUCAGUUCAGUCAACAGCCCUACCUGAUAUUUCAGUCCAUAACUAGCCCUGUGUGUCAGCCCUGUGAACAGGUCGUCUUGGACUUUUCACCCCAGUUGAGAAUAAUGACUACAUCCUCAGCUGAUAGCACAUGGAACAGAGGAACUACCUAGCUUAGCUGGGCCCAUAUUGCAGAAUUGUGAGAGAUCAUGAAAAGUUGUGUUUUUUUUAUAACUA
rnacentral:lncRNA from 1 species